CAACAACUUGUUAAUGCAUUCUGAUCAUGUUAUAGUAUCAAUUGAAGAGCCAAAUCGGCUAGAAGAGUGUCCAGAUCCGUCCAAUUUUUCUCAUCUGGAAAUUGAAAUGAAUGAGUUGAAGGGACAUUGGUUUGAAAUAGAGCGCAGUGGGUGCCACAGGGAGAAUUUUAUCAAUUGUGCCAUGUUCUAUUUCAACACUUUCAAAUCGCCCAAAGGUGAAACAAAUCAAUUUUCGCUUUCUGGCUAUAACUGGUUUCUCGGAAAUAAAGAACACUUCGGAAAAUUGAUUCCUCUACACCCUGGAAACUGGCAACAAUUUUAUCUCUCGUUCGACAAGCCGUAUUCUACCUCAUCGAAUGCUCCGCUCUUAGUUCGCGUUGUGGAAGUUAACAAAGACAGCCAUUUGGUUCUGUAUUCUUGCACUGAAAAACAGGGCAUGCUUUUCAAAUACGUUGAGGAAUAUGCUUGGCUGCUAUCUCGAAGACCAUUGAUAGAUCCCUGGACUUUGAGCCACUUAGAGAGGCGAUUAUCAGGCUUAACUAAUUUGGAACCGUGGCAGUUUUGGCGAUCGUGGAAAAAGACGUGCAGACAAAGUCAGGACUUCGAAAAAGAAUUUGGCUCAAUUUUGAGGAAACAAGAUAAACUUGAGUAACAUCAGAAGCUUUCAGAGUUUAUCGGCAACAAAAAUCAGAGAACAGUUAUUGAAUGUACAGUUUUUAUUGUGUAAAUGCCACAAGC